rnacentral:rRNA from 1 species
CAGCCGCCGCGGUAAUACGUAGGGGGCGAGCGUUGUCCGAAGUUACUGGGCGUAAAGCGCGCGUAGGCGGUUAUUUAAGUCUGGGGUGAAAGGUUCAGCGCUCAACGUGAACAGUGCCUUGGAUACUGGAUGACUUGAGUCUGGGAGGGGGAAGGGGAAUUCCUGGUGUAGCGGUGAAAUGCGUAGAUAUCAGGAGGAACACCGGUGGCGAAGGCGCCUUCCUGGCCUAAGACUGACGCUGAGGUGCGAAAGCGUGGGGAGCAAACGGGAUUAGAUACCCCGGUAGUCCACGCCAUAAACGAUGAGUGCUAGGUGUCGGGGGUAUCGACCCCCCCGGUGCCGUCGCUAACGCAUUAAGCACUCCGCCU